CCCAGCGCCGGGCCGCAGGGAGCGGGCCGGGGAGGCCCCCAGCGCAGCCAGUUCCGGGAGAGGACUGCCCCGAGCUGGAAGCGGCGCCCCCCGGCAUUCACGAAAAACCAUCCCCAUCCCAGUCUCCCGUUCAGCCCCAGCGCAGCUGAGAGGCCGUAUUUCGCCUUGCGUCGUUCAGCAGCAGAAGCGGCACGUGGGGAAAUGGCGCUUUGUAUCAGCAGCCGCACGGAGUUGCGUUCAAGGCCCAGUUGUGCAUGGCCAUGUGUCCAAAACGCUGCCUUUCCCCCGCUUUGCUUUGGACCGCACCUUGCUGGCACCUCCGUGGCUGUCCCUACUGCAAGGCAGCCUGCAAGCUGCGGGGAUUUCGGGUGCUGGUGUUAACCACAAAGACAGAAACUACCCGUCUUGUCCGGUUCAGAAAGCAGUGUUUGGCUUCUUGAGCAGAAAAAUAACGUGCUUUGAACAAAAGAGCCACACUGGGGAUUGGCUCUGCCAUCUCUCUGCUGUCCUACUGAGAGCUGCCCAUUUUUCUUUUUAUCAUUAUUUAGGAGUAUCUGUAACAACAAAACAAAAGAUUUUUCUCUGCUGCGCUGUGCUGAUAGCUUCAGCCUUGCCCUGGGUUUUGCAUUUGGCGUGUGGGACCUCUUCGGGUUGCAGCGAUGAGCAGAGCCCCCCGGCCCGGCCGGGCGAGCGGCAGCAUCCCCCCGCGCAGCGGCCUGGCACACCAAGGGCACGUCACCAGCUCCAGCAACUGCCAGGCUCAGAGGCGAAGUUACAGCAGGGCCUCGUCUGACUUCGCUCAUGCAGCGUUUCAUUGAAGGGCUGUGCGCACAUCAGAAUGAUGGAGCAGAGGCCGGUGUGUUGGCUCUGCAGGCUAAUUAGUCUCCCAGACCUUCUGCUCCUCUGGAAGUCCCAGCCCUGCUGGGCAGGACGGGGCCGCGUGUUGCUCGCGUCGAGUGGCCAGGCUCCACAUCUGCGGUGCCGGUAUUUCGCUGGCCUGCAGGGCUCUCAUUUGGCCUAUAAACCGCCAACAUCUGCUGGGGUUAUGGUCGGCUUGUUGGCUGAUUUCAGCUGGGAUGGUGACCUGCUGCACGAGUCGAUCAGUUCUGGAAGAGCAAACUGGAUGCAGUGCGGAGGAGUUCGAGAAAGCAGGGAAAGCAUUCAGCCAGUCAAAAAUAAAAACAAGCAGUGUCAGCUUGAAGAAUUCCACUGACCUUUCCAUCUAGUUACUUUGGAUUGACACAGACGUAAAGGGAGGCAGGACUGGAUUGUCAGAGCCCUCAGCGUUCAUGCUCGUUUCUUUAAAAAUGAAGUCCCAACCGCUGCUCUGAUCUGCCUCUCUCCUACAGUAGGGUAAGUCACAAAUGAUUCUGGAGAAGCCAGCGGAUUUGUGAUAGCCAAGAGCAGAAUCUAGCCUUUCUUAAAUGAAACAUGCACAGUUCUUUCCAUGUAAAUUUAGUUAGAUGCAGUAGUUUGGGUGAACAACUGCAGAAGAGAAUUAUCCCACUGGUUAUUCUAUAUUCUCACUGAGCAUUUAUUUCCAGGGCAAGCAGGCAGCACAUGCCGAGAAAGAGUGAUGGAGCACAACUCAGUGAAAAUAAUAUGUUAGGCCUGAUCUGGACCCAUUUCCACUGGCAAAACAGACUCUUUGUUCAGGAACUUAGUGCAGUUGGGAUUAUUCAACAAAUGGAAGUGUUUUAUAAUGCAACCUUGUAAAUUAUGUAGGGAUUUCAAAAAUAAAUACAAGGAGAGAUACUA